rnacentral:rRNA from 1 species
GAUGAACGCUGGCGGCGUGCCUAAUACAUGCAAGUCGAGCGAACGGACGAGAAGCUUGCUUCUCUGAUGUUAGCGGCGGAAGGGGGAGUAAAACGUGGAUAACCUACCUAUAAGACUGGGAUAAAUUCGGGAAACCGGAGCUAAUACCGGAUGAUAUUUUGAACCGCAUGGUUCAAAAGUGAAAGACGGUCUUGCUGUCACUUAUAGAUGGAUCCGCGCUGCAUUAGCUAGUUGGUAAGGUAACGGCUUACCAAGGCAACGAUGCAUAGCCGACCUGAGAGGGUGAUCGGCCACACUGGAACUGAGACACGGUCCAGACUCCUACGGGAGGCAGCAGUAGGGAAGCUUCCGCAAUGGGCGAAAGCCUGACGGAGCAACGCCGCGUGAGUGAUGAAGGUCUUCGGAUCGUAAAACUCUGUUAUUAGGGAAGAACAUAUGUGUAAGUAACUGUGCACAUCUUGACGGUACCUAAUCAGAAAGCCACGGCUAACUACGUG